GCUGGGCGUGGUGGCUCACGCCUGUAAUCCCAGCACUUUGGGAGGCUGAGGCGGGCUGAUCACUUGAGGUCAGGAGUUCGAGACCAGCCUGGCCAACACGGUGAAACCCCAUCUCUACUAAAAAUACAAAAAUUAGCCAGGUGUGGUGGUGAACAUCUGCAAUCCUAGCUACUCAGGAGGCUGAGGCAGGAGAAUCACUUGAACCUGGGAGGUGGAGGUUGCAGUGAACUGAGAUUGUGCAACUCUCCUCCAGCCUGGGCAACAGAGUGAGAUUCUGCCUCU
ensembl:misc_RNA Metazoa_SRP Metazoan signal recognition particle RNA